rnacentral:rRNA from 1 species
AAACCUCUUUUCUCUGGGAAGAAGAUCUGACGGUACCUGAGGAAUAAGCCUCGGCUAACUCCGUGCCAGCAGCCGCGGUAAUACGGAAGUGGCAAGCGUUAUCCGGAAUUAUUGGGCGUAAAGCGUCCGCAGGCGGUUUUUUAAGUCUGCUGUCAAAGACUACAGCUUAACUGUGGUAGGGCAAUGGAAACUGAUGAGCUUGAGUGUGGUAGGGGUAGAGGGAAUUCCCGGUGUAGCGGUGAAAUGCGUAGAUAUCGGGAAGAACACCAGUGGCGAAGGCGCUCUACUGGGCCGUUACUGACGCUCAUGGACGAAAGCUAGGGGAGCGAAAGGGAUU